rnacentral:rRNA from 1 species
UACGAAGGGGGCUAGCGUUGCUCGGAAUCACUGGGCGUAAAGGGUGCGUAGGCGGGUCUUUAAGUCAGGGGUGAAAUCCUGGAGCUCAACUCCAGAACUGCCUUUGAUACUGAGGAUCUUGAGUUCGGGAGAGGUGAGUGGAAUUCCCAGUGUAGCGGUGAAAUGCGUAGAUAUUGGGAGGAACACCAGUGGCGAAGGCGGCUCACUGGACCGGAACUGACGCUGAGGCGCGAAAGCGUGGGGAGCAAACAGG